rnacentral:rRNA from 1 species
AUUGAACGCUGGCGGCAUGCCUUACACAUGCAAGUCGAACGGUAACGCGGGGCAACCUGGCGACGAGUGGCGAACGGGUGAGUAAAGCAUCGGAACGUGCCCAGUAGUGGGGGAUAGCCCGGCGAAAGCCGGAUUAAUACCGCAUACGACCUAUGGGUGAAAGGGGGGGAUCGCAAGACCUCUCGCUAUUGGAGCGGCCGAUGUCAGAUUAGGUAGUUGGUGGGGUAAAGGCCUACCAAGCCGACGAUCUGUAGCUGGUCUGAGAGGACGACCAGACACACUGGGCCGGAGACACGGCCCAGACACCUACGGGAGGCAGCAGUGGGGAAUUUUGGACAAUGGGCGCAAGCCUGAUCCAGCCAUGCCGCGUGCGGGAAGAAGGCCUUCGGGUUGUAAACCGCUUUUGUCAGGGAAGAAAUCCCUUGGGUUAAUACCUCGGGGGGAUGACGGUACCUGAAGAAUAAGCACCGGCUAACUACGUGCCAGCAGCCGCCGUAA